rnacentral:rRNA from 1 species
CAAUAGCGUAUAUUAAAGUUGCUGCAGUUAAAAAGCUCGUAGUUGGAUUUGUGGCACGGUCGUCCGGCGGGGCUUCCGGUUUCAUAGUAUCCCGGGGCCGUUUGUCUGGGUUCUUGGCCGCCCCAUUCUUCGGUUGCGUGUCGCUGGCAUUAGGUUGUCGGCUUCUUCGCGCCGAUCGUUUACUGUGAAAAAAUUAGAGUGUUCAAAGCAGGCUUAGGCCGUUGGAUACAUUAGCAUGGAAUAAUGAGAUAGGGCCACGGCGGUCUAUUUUGUUGGUUUGCACGUUGUGGUAAUGAUUAACAGGAACGGUUGGGGGUAUUCGUAUUCAAUUGUCAGAGGUGAAAUUCUUGGAUUUAUGGAAGACGAACUACUGCGAAAGCAUUUACCAAGGAUGUUUUCAUUAA